rnacentral:sRNA from 1 species
UGUGAUCAAAAAUGACUUGAUGAGAUCUGUAUGAUUGAGUAGAAGAACUUAAACCGCAACUGGAUCUUAAAAGCCUAAGUAGUGUUUCCUUGUUAGAAGAUACAAAGCCAAAGUCUCAUACGAACUUUAGCUACACAAUCAAAGCGUUGAGAAGCAAGAAGAAGCUUGGUUAGUGUUUUAGAGUUAAAUAUUACUAGAUGUCAUGUGUAUUAGUGAGUAUAACAACUAGAACCGCAUCCAGAUUUUAAAAGCAUAAGUAUUGUAUCCUUGUUAGAAGAUAUAAAGACAAAGACUCAUACGGACUUCGGUUACACUAUCAAAGCUUUGAGAAU